UACGUAGGGCGCAAGCGUUGUCCGGAAUUAUUGGGCGUAAAGAGCUCGUAGGCGGUUUGUCGCGUCUGCUGUGAAAACCUAAGGCUCAACCUUGGGCUUGCAGUGGGUACGGGCAGACUAGAGUGCGGUAGGGGUGACUGGAAUUCCUGGUGUAGUGGUGGAAUGCGCAGAUAUCAGGAGGAACACCCAUGGGCGAAGGCAGCACUCUGGACCGGACCUGACGCUGAGACGCGAAAGCGUGGGGAGCAAACAGG
rnacentral:rRNA from 1 species